GAUGAACGCUGGCGGCGUGCCUAAUACAUGCAAGUCGAGCGAACAGACGAGGAGCUUGCUCCUCUGACGUUAGCGGCGGACGGGUGAGUAACACGUGGAUAACCUACCUAUAAGACUGGGAUAACUUCGGGAAACCGGAGCUAAUACCGGAUAAUAUAUUGAACCGCAUGGUUCAAUAGUGAAAGACGGUUUUGCUGUCACUUAUAGAUGGAUCCGCGCCGCAUUAGCUAGUUGGUAAGGUAACGGCUUACCAAGGCAACGAUGCGUAGCCGACCUGAGAGGGUGAACGGCCACACUGGAACUGAGACACGGUCCAGACUCCUACGGGAGGCAGCAGUAGGGAAUCUUCCGCGAUGGGCGAAAGCCUGACGGAGCAACGCCGCGUGAGUGAUGAAGGUCUUCGGAUCGUAAAACUCUGUUAUUAGGGAAGAACAAAUGUGUAAGUAACUAUGCACGUCUUGACGGUACCUAAUCAGAAAGCCACGGCUAACUACGUG
rnacentral:rRNA from 1 species